AUUGAACGCUGGCGGCAGGCCUAACACAUGCAAGUCGAACGGUAACAGGAAGAAGCUUGCUUCUUUGCUGACGAGUGGCGGACGGGUGAGUAAUGUCUGGGAAACUGCCUGAUGGAGGGGGAUAACUACUGGAAACGGUAGCUACUACCGCAUAACGUCGCAAGACCAAAGAGGGGGACCUUCGGGCCUCUUGCCAUCGGAUGUGCCCAGAUGGGAUUAGCUAGUAGGUGGGGUAACGGCUCACCUAGGCGACGAUCCCUAGCUGGUCUGAGAGGAUGACCAGCCACACUGGAACUGAGACACGGUCCAGACUCCUACGGGAGGGAGCAGUGGGGAAUAUUGCACAAUGGGCGCAAGCCUGAUGCAGCCAUGCCGCGUGUAUGAAGAAGGCCCUCGGGUUGUAAAGUACUUUCAGCGGGGAGGAAGGGAGUAAAGUUAAUACCUUUGCUCAUUGACGUUACCCGCAGAAGAAGCACCGGCUAACUCCGUG
rnacentral:rRNA from 1 species